AACGUAGGAGGCAAGCGUUAUCCGGAUUCACUGGGCGUAAAGCGCGUGCAGGCGGUUCGGUAAGUUGGGCGUGAAAUCUCCUGGCUUAACUAGGAGAGGUCGUCCAAUACUACCGGGCUCGAGAGUGGUAGAGGAAAAUGGAAUUCCCGGUGUAGUGGUGAAAUGCGUAGAUAUCGGGAGGAACACCAGUGGCGAAGGCGAUUUUCUGGACCAUUUCUGACGCUCAGACGCGAAAGCUAGGGUAGUAAACGGG
rnacentral:rRNA from 1 species